rnacentral:rRNA from 1 species
CCUACGGGAGGCAGCAGUGGGGAAUAUUGGGCAAUGGAGGAAACUCUGACCCAGCGACGCCGCGUGCGGGAUGAAGGCCUUCGGGUUGUAAACCGCUUUCAGUAGGGAAGAAGCGAAAGUGACGGUACCUACAGAAGAAGCACCGGCUAACUAUGUGCCAGCAGCCGCGGUAAUACAUAGGGUGCAAGCGUUGUCCGGAAUUAUUGGGCGUAAAGAGCUCGUAGGUGGUUCGUCACGUCGGAUGUGAAAAUCUGGGGCUCAACCCCAGACCUGCAUUCGAUACGGGCGAUCUAGAGUGUGGUAGGGGAGACUGGAAUUCCUGGUGUAGCGGUGGAAUGCGCAGAUAUCAGGAGGAACACCAAUGGCGAAGGCAGGUCUCUGGGCCAUUACUGACACUGAGGAGCGAAAGCGUGGGGAGCGAACAGGAUUAGAUACCCUGGUAGUCCACGCCGUAAACGGUGGGCACUAGUUGUGGGAACCUUCCACGGUUUCUGCGACGCAGCUACGCAUAGUAGCCCGCCGUCGGGAGGUACGAGUCGCGAGAGUAGUAAACGUUAAAGUAAGUUAGACGGCGUGAGACGUGCCGAACGGACGACGACGAGGGAGGUAGG